rnacentral:rRNA from 1 species
CCUACGGGGGGCAGCAGUGAGGAAUAUUGGUCAAUGGACGAGAGUCUGAACCAGCCAAGUAGCGUGAAGGAUGACUGCCCUAUGGGUUGUAAACUUCUUUUAUAUGGGAAUAAAAUGUUCCACGUGUGGGAUUUUGUAUGUACCAUAUGAAUAAGGAUCGGCUAACUCCGUGCCAGCAGCCGCGGUAAUACGGAGGAUCCGAGCGUUAUCCGGAUUUAUUGGGUUUAAAGGGAGCGUAGGUGGAUUGUUAAGUCAGUUGUGAAAGUUUGCGGCUCAACCGUACAAUUGCAGUUGAAACUGGCAGUCUUGAGUACAGUAGAGGUGGGCGGAAUUCGUGGUGUAGCGGUGAAAUGCUUAGAUAUCACGAAGAACUCCGAUUGCGAAGGCAGUUCACUGGACUGCAACUGACACUGAGGCUCGAAAGUGUGGGUAUCAAACAGGAUUAGAUACCCGUGUAGUC